GUUUUCUAUUAGGGCACAACAAGACUUUCCCAUUGCCAUGUUCUAUAUGAUGAGGUUGGUUUUUCAACAGAUGAUCUCCAGGAAUUAGUUCAUUUGCUGUCCCGUGUGUAAGUGCACAUUGUACAGGCAUAAAUGAGUAGCCUCCUUUCAGUUGGUUGUGUGGGCAGAGUUUUAAACACUGUAGAUACUUCUAAAUAUUGUUUUUAUUUUGUUUUAGGUAUCAAAGAAGCACCACUGCAAUUUCUGUAGUUGCUCCAUUAUGCGAUGCCCACUUGGCAGCAACCCAGGUGGGACAAUUUAUGAAGUUUGACAAAGGGUUUGAGACAUUGUCGAGCAUUGGCGGCACAUCUACUGGGCCUGUCCCAAUUUUGCAGUUGCCCUGAUUACAAGAGAAUGUGUUGAGUUCCAUGUUCUUUUGUUAGAUGGCCCUAUGGUUGUGUAUAUUGGCUUGGUCUUUUGGUUAUGUGAAGAGCACUGAAUUAGAAAAUUCGGAUCCUCCUAUGGUAGUUGAAUGUAAUUUAACUUAUUUGUGGCCUUUUUGGCGUCUUGUUCUGUUUGGUCGACAGUGGUUAGGUUGCUUGGUCAUAUACCUUCGAUAUUUGCCAUAAUUUUAUGAUCAGAGAUUGCUAUUGAUACUUCUUGUGCC